AUUAAUAGGAAAAGUAUUUUAUCGUCUUAUUUUGGUAUUUUUCUUGUUUUAUGAUUAGGUAGUUGGCCGGUAAAAGCGGUCCAAGCCAUGAUCGUUAGUUGGUCUUAGCGGAUGACCAGCCACAUUAGGAAUUGAAAUAUGGUCCAAACUCUAGAAGCGGAGGCUGCAGUGGGGAAUAUUGGACAAUGGGCGAAAGCCUGAUCCAGCAAUAUCUUGUUUGUUACUGUGUCUUAUAAAUACAUAACAAUGUAGUUAGAAAUAAGUAUGUCAUUUGUUCCAUCUACGUUUACAUAUAGUAAACGUAGAUUAUGCAAAUUACAGAAGAGAUAAUGACAAAAUCUAAAAAGUAAGCCCCGGCUAACUUCGUGCCAGCAGCAGCGGUAAUACGGGGGGGGGCGAGCGUUAUUCAUCUUGAAUGGGCGUAAAGGGUG
rnacentral:rRNA from 1 species